AUUAUCAAAUUCAUCAUAUUGGAUAUACAAAUACGUGAGUUCCUUCCAGUGUUGCUGCUCAUCACAGGCACGAAUAAGUUUUGGAAUGUUGAGACGGGUGGAGAAUAAUUUUAUGUGCUCCAUGAGCUUCUCAUGACGGUAUCUGGCAUAUAGAACACCAAGUUCUGUAAAGAUACCCAUAUGGGCGCGCUCCAACCCAAGCCCACUCUCCAUAAGAGAGAUUAAUUCAUUGAAACAUCCUCUGUUUUGGUAAAAUUCACUCACUUCCUCCAAAUCAUCUACCUGCACUAUAAUGUUAAGCCCACAAAUUUGAGCUAAGCGGAACUCCUCAGCAUCAACACAA
rnacentral:misc_RNA from 1 species